rnacentral:rRNA from 1 species
UACGUAGGGGGCUAGCGUUAUCCGGAAUUACUGGGCGUAAAGGGUGCGUAGGUGGUUUCUUAAGUCAGAGGUGAAAGGCUACGGCUCAACCGUAGUAAGCCUUUGAAACUGGGAAACUUGAGUGCGGGAGAGGAGAGUGGAAUUCCUAGUGUAGCGGUGAAAUGCGUAGAUAUUAGGAGGAAUACCAGUUGCGAAGGCGGCUCUCUGGACUGUAACUGACACUGAGGCACGAAAGCGUGGGGAGCAAACAGG